CGCGUAGGCGGCCAAUCAAGUCAGGUGUGAAAGUCCACGGCUCAACCGUGGAAGUGCAUUUGAAACUGAUAGGCUUGAGUACUGGAGGGGAGUGUGGAAUUCCUGGUGUAGAGGUGAAAUUCGUAGAGAUCAGGAGGAAUACCGGUGGCGAAGGCGACACUCUGGACAGAUACUGACGCUGAGGCGCGAAAGCGUGGGAGCAAAC
rnacentral:rRNA from 1 species